GGUUUUAACCCAAUAUCUCAAGGUACUAAUGGCGUCCGACCUACCACCAGUGGUUGCGUCGAAAACCCGAAUUUUUGGAUUGCCUUCGCGGGGUAUCCGGGAGGGCAGU
rnacentral:sRNA from 1 species